rnacentral:rRNA from 1 species
GACGAACGCUGGCGGCGUGCCUAACACAUGCAAGUCGAGCGGAGACAGGGAGUAGCUUGCUAUGAGCUGUUUUAGCGGCGGACGGGUGAGUAACGCGUGAGCAACCUUUCCCAGACAGGGGAAUAACACACCGAAAGGUGUACUAAUACCGCAUAAGACCACGGGAUCACAUGGUUCUGGGGUAAAAGAUUUAUCGGUUUGGGGUGGGCUCGCGUCCGAUUAGGUAGUUGGUGAGGUAACGGCCCACCAAGCCGACGAUCGGUAGCCGACCUGAGAGGGUGAUCGGCCACAUUGGGACUGAGACACGGCCCAAACUCCUACGGGAGGCAGCAGUGGGGAAUAUUGGGCAAUGGAGGAAACUCUGACCCAGCAACGCCGCGUGGAGGAAGAAGGUUUUCGGAUCGUAAACU